rnacentral:rRNA from 1 species
GAUGAACGCUGGCGGCGUGCCUAAUACAUGCAAGUCGAGCGAAUGGAUUAAGAGCUUGCUCUUAUGAAGUUAGCGGCGGACGGGUGAGUAACACGCGGGUAACCUGCCCAUGAGACUGGGAUAACUCCGGGAAACCGGGGCUAAUACCGGAUAACAUUUUGAACCGCAUGGUUCGAAAUUGAAAGGCGGCUUCGGCUGUCACUUAUGGAUGAACCCGCGUCGCAUUAGCUAGUUGGUAAGGUAACGGCUCACCAAGGCAACGAUGCGUAGACGACCUGAGAGGGAGAUCGGCCACACUGGGACUGAGACACGGCCCAGACUCCUACGGGAGGCAGCAGUAGGGAAUCUUCCGCAAUGGACGAAAGUCUGACGGAGCAACGCCGCGUGAGUGAUGAAGGCUUUCGGGUCGUAAAACUCUGUUGUUAGGGAAGAACAAGUGCUAGUUGAAUAAGCUGGCACCUUGACGGUACCUAACCAGAAAGCCACGGCUAACUACGUGCCAGCAGCCGCAGUAA